ACCGUUUGUUUGGGUUGUUGGUUUCAUGAAAGUGAAUCAAGGAAAUGGCUAACCGAGAUUGGUCCCUUAUCCCUGACGAAAUCUGGGCAGCCAUCGGCCGAUACCUGGACAAUCCCAUCGACGUUCUCCGAUUCCGCAGCGUCUGCAGCUCAUGGCGCACUCUCACCCCUCCUUUCGACCAUUCCACUCUUCUUCCCCGAUUCAACUUUCCUGUACCAACUUACUCCUCCACUUUCCAAGCCUUCGUCUCCGAGACCACCGUCUACCGCAUCAACCUCCCCAACCUCCACCUAGCUCACAAUCCAUCAACUUCUUCUUCUUCUUCUGAUUUCGCUAAGGGGUGGCUGAUCAAGAUUGAAGAGUACCAACGAGGAAAGUUCCGUCUUUUAGACUCGCUCUCUUGCCGAAGAAUCAAGGACAUCGCUUGUUUCCCUUCUGAUAAUCUCUUCGACAUCUCUCAGUUGAGUUUGACAAAGCUAACCACGGCUUAUGCGCUUAAAUACGUUGCUGGGUCUUCUUCUAUAGCUGGUGUGAACAGAGUGGUUCUUUCUCCUAAUUCCCACUUGGGUCGACCCGAAGACUGUUCAAUCUUCGUUAUUUACGAUAAUGGAAAGCUGGGUUUUGCUAAGAAUGGUGAGGAGGAUAUUACCCUUGUUGAUUAUCGGAUCCUGGAUUACAACGAUCUCACUGUUUUUAGAGGUCAGCCUUAUGUGGUUGACCGAUGGGGUACGGUUUCAUGGAUCGAUUCUUCGUUGAGAGUGGUUCAAUACUCGCCUCCGUUGUUUGGGCUUGGUCAUCGAAAGCAUUUGGUGGUGUCAAAGGAUGAGCUUUUUGUGGUUGAUAGGUACCUUGAUGAGAAUAGGACUCCAUACCCAGAUGAGAGCAGUAUCACUGAUAACGAUGGUGUUAAUUUCAACAUGCUUCAGCGCCACCCUCGUCGUCGCCGGAGAUACGAUUUCAAUCAUCCCAAAUCAGUAGAUUUCAAGGUGUAUAAGCUUGAUGAAGAGUGGGGAAGAUGGGUUGAGGUCAAGUGUUUGGGAGACGAUGAGUCUUUUGUUUUGACUUAUGACUGUUGUUUCUCUAUUUCAGCUUCUGAGUUUGAGGGGUUUAGAGAGAAUUGCAUUUACUUCACUGAACAAUUUGACAUGGAUUUAGCUCUUAGAAAGUUAGGCAGACUUGGUGGGUGUGUUUUCAGCUUAGAGGAUCAUACCAUUGAGGACCUACCAAGUACACCAGGCUACUCCCAGAUCUUUUGGCCACCUCCUAUUCCAACUCGGCUUUGCACAGACUGAAUGUGAAGAGGAGUCAAAGAAAGAAGGCUUGCAAUUUGGAGAGAUCUCCAAUCAUAUUACUUCACUUCACAAUAUUGAUAAAUGAGUUAUAUACCAUCCAGUUGUAGGGUCCGUUCCUGAUUGAAAAUGAUGUAUUUGAUUGAAUGAAUAUGAGCAAGUGAAUAUGUUAUUAUAUUAAAUAAGAGUCUGGCCCAUGUGUAUAUAUGAUCCCAUAGAAAGUGUUAGAAGAAUGGAUUUUCUAAGAUGAGGGAUUUUCCUCAAACACACUAUGGUGAACAGGAGUCAAAGAAAGAAGGCUUGCAAUUUGGAGAGAUGUCCCAUCUAUAUGACUUCAGAGUAUUGAUUAGUUAGUACUUAGUAAUAUUCCAUCUAGUUUGUAGGGUCUGUUCCUGAGUGAACAUGGUGUAUUUAAUUCAAUGAAUAUGAGCAAUUGGGAGAACCUGGCCCAUGUGUAUAUAUGAUUCCAUAGAAAAUGUGUAAAAAGAAUGGAUUUUAUGAAUGAUUUGUAUUGUAUUGGACAACCCCCACGAAGAGAAUGAGGGAUUUUCCUCAAACACUAUGGUAGGCCAUCUCAAACCCAUUAUAUCA